UAAGUAGCGCAAGCAAAUAAAAGCGAUUUUCUUGAGCUAGUCAUUCAUUUUGUGCCGAACUCUGCGUUAGGCAGGUGACCAUGCUGAUUGGAAAGGGCAACGCAAACUUACUCCUGCACACCCUAAAUGAAUUGCAGGGGUGUGUUGAAGACCAUGUGGCUCAGAGGUGUCCGAGCGAUCGGGAGGCAGUCACGUUCAUGGAACCGUUGUCUGGACUGAAAAUGGUGGUGUAGCAAUGGAGUACAUGUGCAGUGUGGAAUGAUCCUCAGAAUGCUGUGGAAGCUGGGUUGAACCAUUGAGCAAAAUGGUUGAAUCGCAGCUAACAUUGGAUUGACUGGAAACCUUGCUUUCAAAUUCCGGAUAUCCUUGGGUGUACUGAAGGGUACUGGCCAGUCGACAUUCAUUGUCUGACAUCCAGUGUUGGCCUUGUAGGAGGGGAAAUGACUUGAUGGGCCCCAGGGACACUCCUCUGUAUGGAUGAUUGGGAACGAAGAUGGUAUAAUGAAACAAACAGUGACAACCAGAAUACGAUGGAGUAGCUUUUAGUAUUUGCUGUAAUUCAUUAUUUGUAAUGUGCGCAUUAAAUUGGUACAGUCCAUUACCAGUAUGUGGCAGUUGCCACAGAGGUGCAUUACUCUGAUUGUUGCUAGUUAUACUCCUGAGUUGUAGCGCUCAUUCAAGUGUUUGGUAAUCUCCUUGCUGUGAGUUCUUCUCGAGUAAUGAUGAUCGCACAUGUAUCAACCUAAAUAAAAACCUUUUUGUCCAAAGCUUCAGUGCUUAAAUUUA